AAGCCUCAGCUUGCUGGGGUAAGUAAAGUGGCGCACGGGUGAGUAACGCGUGGGUAAUCUGCCCCUGAAUCUGGGAUAACGCUGCGAAAGCGGUGCUAAUACCGGAUGACAUCGAAUUGACUUCGGUUGAUUGGAUCAAAGGUAGCCACUCCAUGGAAGCUACUGUUUGGGGAUGAGCCCGCGUACCAUUAGCUUGUUGGUAGGGUAACGGCCUACCAAGGCGACGAUGGUUAGCUGGUCUGAGAGGAUGAUCAGCCACACUGGAACUGGAACACGGUCCAGACUCCUACGGGAGGCAGCAGUGAGGAAUUUUGCGCAAUGAGGGAAACCUUGACGCAGCAACGCCGCGUGAGUGAUGAAGGCUUUCGGGUCGUAAAGCUCUGUCAAGUGGGAAGAAAUCCCGGGAAGUGAACAGUUUUUCGGGUUGACGGUACCACUGAAGGAAGCACCGGCUAACUCCGUGCCAGCAGCCGCGGUAAUACGGAGGGUGCGAGCGUUAUUCGGAAUUACUGGGCGUAAAGGGCGCGCAGGCGGUCAUGUAAGUCAGAUGUGAAAGCCCGGGGCUUAACCCUGGAAGUGCAUUUGAAACUGUGUGACUUGAGUAUGGGAGAGGGAAGCGGAAUUCCUGGUGUAGCGGUGAAAUGCGUAGAUAUCAGGAGGAACACCCGUGGCGAAGGCGGCUUCCUGGACCAAUACUGACGCUGAGGCGCGAAGGCGUGGGGAGCAAACAGGAUUAGAUACCCUGGUAGUCCACGCAGUANACGGUGAUCACUAGGUGUAGCGGGUAUUGACCCCUGCUGUGCCGAAGCUAACGCAUUAAGUGAUCCGCCUGGGGAGUACGGCCGCAAGGUUAAAACUCAAAGGAAUUGACGGGGGCCCGCACAAGCGGUGGAACAUGUGGUUUAAUUCGACGCAACGCGAAGAACCUUACCUGGAUUUGACAUCCCGGGAAUCUUUUUGAAAAUGAGAGUGCCCUU
rnacentral:rRNA from 1 species